rnacentral:rRNA from 1 species
UUACCUGCUCAAUGAUUAAAUUUAAAUGGCCGCGGUAUUAUGACCGUGCAAAGGUAGCAUAAUCAUUAGUUUCUUAAUUGGAGACUGGAAUGAAUGGUUUGACGAGAAAUUGACUGUCUCUUAAUAAUUUUUAGAAUUUAACUUUUAAGUUAAAAGGCUUAAAUAUUUCUUUUGGACGAGAAGACCCUAUAGAGCUUUACAUUUAUAAAUUAAUUUUUAUUAUAUAGAUGAUUUCUUAAUAUUAAUUUGUUUUGUUUGGUUGGGGUGACUUGAAGAAUAAAUAAACUCUUCAUUAUUAAAUCAUUGAUUUAUGUUUAUUUGAUCCAUAAUUUUUGAUUAUAAGAUUAAGUUACCUUAGGGAUAACAGCGUAAUCAUUUUUGAGAGUUCUUAUUGAUAAAGUGGAUUGCGACCUCGAUGUUGGAUUAAGAUUAAUUACGGGUGUAGUGGCUUGAUAAUUAGGUCUGUUCGACCUUUAAAUUCUUACGUGAUCUGAGUUCANAACCGG